rnacentral:rRNA from 1 species
AGUGAACGCUGGCGGUAGGCCUAACACAUGCAAGUCGAACGGCAGCACAGUAAGAGCUUGCUCUUACGGGUGGCGAGUGGCGGACGGGUGCGGAAUACAUCGGAAUCUACUUUUUCGUGGGGGAUAACGUAGGGAAACUUACGCUAAUACCGCAUACGACCUACGGGUGAAAGCAGGGGAUCUUCGGACCUUGCGCGAUUGAAUGAGCCGAUGUCGGAUUAGCUAGUCGGCGGGGUAACGGCCCACCAAGGCGACGAUCCGUAGCCGGUCUGAGAGGAUGAUCAGCCACACUGGAACUGAGACACGGUCCAGACUCCUACGGGAGGCAGCAGUAGGGAAUAUUCGACAAUGGGCGAAAGCCUGAUGGGGCAAUGCCGCGUGGGUGAAGAAGGCCUUCGGAUUGUAAAGCUCUUUUGUUGGGAAAGAACAGAAGCAGGAUUAAAGCCGGCCGUUCUGACGGUACCCAAUGAAAAAGCAACGGCUAACUUCGUG